UACAGAGGUCUCAAGCGUUUGUUCGGAUUCAUUGGGCGUAAAGGGGUGCGUAGGCGGCGCGGUAAGUCGGGUGUGAAAUCUGGAGCUUAACUCCGAAACUGCAUUCGAUACUGCCGUGCUUGAGGACUGGAGAGGAGACUGGAAUUUACGGUGUAGCGGUGAAAUGCGUAGAUAUCGUAAGGAAGACCAGUGGCGAAGGCGGGUCUCUGGACAGUUCCUGACGCUGAGGCACGAAGGCCCAGGGGAGCAAACGGG
rnacentral:rRNA from 1 species